rnacentral:rRNA from 1 species
CCUGUCGAGCUUUAGAAAAUUUUUAUUUUAACCCAUAAAAAUUAUUUUUUAAAAAUAAUUUUAUAAAAAAUAAAAAUAUCUUUGGUUGGGGCAACCACGAAGAAAAAGCAACCUUCGUUCUAAAAAAAAAAUUUACCAAUUUAAAAUUAUAUUAAAAUAAAAAAGAUCCAGAAUAUUCUGAUCAAAGAAAUAAGUUACCGCAGGGAUAACAGCGUUAUUCUCUUUAAGAGUCCAUAUUGACAAGAGAGUUUGCGACCUCGAUGUUGGACCGGGACAUCCUAGAGGCGCAGCAGCCUCUAAGGGUAGGUCUGUUCGACCUUUAAAGUCCUACGUGA